rnacentral:RNase_P_RNA from 1 species
GCAGUGAGCCACCCCACCGCCGCGCCCAACGCAAAUGCGGGCGGGGAGGAAAGUCCGGGCUACGCAGGGCGCCCUGCUUCCUAACGGGAAGGACUGGCCAAUCGGGCCAGGACAGCCAGUGCCACAGAAAAUAACCGCCAUUGGGCAAUGGAUGAAUGAGUGAAGGAGUGAAUGAGUAAAUAGUUUGACAAAACCACCUCAUUCACUCCUUUACCCAUUCGCCCAUUCACUCAUUGGUAAGGGUGAAAAGGUGCGGUAAGAGCGCACCAGCGGCUGGGUGACCAUGCCGGCUGGGUAAACCUCAGGGGUUGCAAGACCAAAUAAGCAGACACGUCGCUAGCCCCUCCGGGGCCGGCGGCACCGGGCGGCCCGCCCGGGUUUGCGGGUAGGUCGCUGGAGCCCACGGGCGACCGUGGGCCUAGAUAAAUGGUGGGGCCACCGCCAGGGGAAACUCUGUAGGGUGGACAGAACCCGGCUUAUCGGCUCAUUGCGUAA